GGGAACCUAUGUUUUGUUGCGCAACACAAGCAGCAUAUCAGUGCUUUUCUCACUUCAAGAUACAAUUUGUGCUCGUGGCUACUGGAGAACACCGAAAGAUGUAUUGAAAGCUCACUUAUGUGACUGGUUUGAGAAACAGAUCCAGCAAAGUGGUCUUCAUGAUUUGAAGGAGACACUUUAUUUUCCACAGGUCUCAGACUCUGAAGUGUGGCAAAUGCUUCCAAAAGGAACCCGUUCUCUCCUCGUGCAACCUCUAAUACAAUCUGAAACCUCAGCUUCCAGCCAGGAGUGGAAGAAUAAUGGUUUUGUGCUUGUGGCUUCCAGCAAUAGUUACGCAUACAACAAUAAAGAUAGAUCAUGGGUUGGAGCUGUUGCAAAGAAGUUUGGAGGUAAGUGUGUCCAUGCAGAUCUAUAGAGCCUGUAAUAUUUCUUCAA
rnacentral:misc_RNA from 1 species